AAUUUGGAUUAAUACCUCAUAGUAUAUCAGCUCGGCAUUAAUAAUUAAUUAAAGUCACAACGGUAAAAGAUGAGCAUGCGUCCCAUUAGCUAGUUGGUAAGGUAACGGCUUACCAAGGCUACGAUGGGUAGGGGUCCUGAGAGGGAGAUCCCCCACACUGGUACUGAGACACGGACCAGACUCCUACGGGAGGCAGCAGUGAGGAAUAUUGGACAAUGGGCGCAAGCCUGAUCCAGCCAUGCCGCGUGCAGGAUGACGGUCCUAUGGAUUGUAAACUGCUUUUAUACGAGAAGAAACACUCCUUCGUGAAGGAGCUUGACGGUAUCGUAAGAAUAAGGAUCGGCUAACUCCGUGCCAGCAGCCGCGGUAAUACGGAGGAUCCAAGCGUUAUCCGGAAUCAUUGGGUUUAAAGGGUCCGUAGGCGGUUUAAUAAGUCAGUGGUGAAAGCCCAUCGCUCAACGGUGGAACGGCCAUUGAUACUGUUAGACUUGAAUUAUUAGGAAGUAACUAGAAUAUGUAGUGUAGCGGUGAAAUGCUUAGAGAUUACAUG
rnacentral:rRNA from 1 species